GACGAACGCUGGCGGCGCGCCUAACACAUGCAAGUCGAACGAGCGAGAGAGAGCUUGCUUUCUCGAGCGAGUGGCGAACGGGUGAGUAACGCGUGAGGAACCUGCCUCAAAGAGGGGGACAACAGUUGGAAACGACUGCUAAUACCGCAUAAGCCCACGACCCGGCAUCGGGUAGAGGGAAAAGGAGCAAUCCGCUUUGAGAUGGCCUCGCAUCCGAUUAGCUAGUUGGUGAGGUAACGGCCCACCAAGGCGACGAUCGGUAGCCGGACUGAGAGGUUGAACGGCCACAUUGGGACUGAGACACGGCCCAGACUCCUACGGGAGGCAGCAGUGGGGAAUAUUGCACAAUGGGGGAAACCCUGAUGCAGCGACGCCGCGUGGAGGAAGAAGGUCUUCGGAUUGUAAACUCCUGUUGUUGAGGAAGAUAAUGACGGUACUCAACAAGGAAGUGACGGCUAACUACGUG
rnacentral:rRNA from 1 species